CCCAAACACCACCAAUUACUGGCAGGUACUGUACCCCCAAACACCACCAAUUACUGGCAGGUAUCCCCAAACACCACCAAUUACUGGCAGGUACCCCCAAACACCACCAAUUACUGGCAGGUACUGUACCUCCAAACACCACCAAUUACUGGCAGGUACCUCAAAACACCACCAAUUACUGGCAGGUACUGUACCCCCAAACACCACCAAUUACUGGCAGGUAUCCCCAAACACCACCAAUUACUGGCAGGUACCCCCAAACACCACCAAUUACUGGCAGGUACCCCCAAACACCACCAAUUACUGGCAGGUACCCCCAAACACCACCAAUUACUGGCAGGUACCCCCAAACACCACCAAUUACUGGCAGGUACCCCAAACACCACCAAUUACUGGCAGGUACCCCAAACACCACCAAUUACUGGCAGGUACCCCCAAACACCGCCAAUU